rnacentral:rRNA from 1 species
AGUGAACGCUGGCGGCAGGCCUAAUACAUGCAAGUCGAACGGCAGCACAGCAGAGCUUGCUCUGUGGGUGGCGAGUGGCGGACGGGUGAGGAAUACAUGGGAAUCUGCCCAGUCGUGGGGGAUAACGUAUGGAAACGUACGCUAAUACCGCAUGCGCCCUAAGGGGGAAAGCCGGGGACCGCAAGGCCUGGCGCGAUUGGAUGAGCCCAUGUUCGAUUAGCUAGUUGGCGGGGUAAAGGCCCACCAAGGCGACGAUCGAUAGCUGGUCUGAGAGGAUGAUCAGCCACACUGGAACUGAGACACGGUCCAGACUCCUACGGGAGGCAGCAGUAGGGAAUAUUGGACAAUGGGGGCAACCCUGAUCCAGCCAUGCCGCGUGAGUGAAGAAGGCCCUCGGGUUGUAAAGCUCUUUUGUCCGGAAAGAAAAGCAAUCGGUUAAUACCCGGUUGUUCUGACGGUACCGGAAGAAUAAGCACCGGCUAACUUCGUGCCAGCACG